AUGGAGGCGUGAUGGCUGAUGCAAUCAUUUUCCACUGAUGAAGGUUUUGAUGGCCACCUGUGAUGAACAGCCCCAUCUGAUUUAAUCACUGUGCAAUGACCGUGAACUGUACAGUUACCUCCGUGUGUCACAGGAAGACUCUUGUGACUUAAGCACCCUUCCAUGGUCAUGAGGUUUCUGGUUGCCUCUGUGUGUUAGAAGCUUGGAGACCAAUGCCUUCUGCUGUGAUCGCGUUCUCCACAGUUGCCUCUGGGUAGGAGCCUGGACACUAAUAGAAGAUGGAUGCACUGGAGCUGAUUUAAACAUUCUUUGGUGGUCACAAGAUGUAUAGCUGCCUCUGUAUGUUUGGCGCAUGGAAAAAAAUAUGAGUUUUUGUGGACAUACACUCUUUAUUUGAAAAGUAUGAAAUAUAAUCCAAGAAAGCCAGCCAUGGCUCAGUGAUAAAUAUGGAAUUGAUAUGAAACAUUAUAUUGAUUAAUCACCUUUGAGGAUGAUUAAUAAAAGAGAGAAAGUGAUUCUAUAUAGAGAUGCAGGACUAUUUCAGGCUCAUUCAUGAUCUAGGUUUUUGUGCUUCAUGGUUAUUUUAUUAUCAUCAAUAAAAAGAAAAAAGAUGGAUGCACUUGAGCCGACCUAAGCAUUCAUGGUCAUGAGAUUUGUGGUUGCCACUGUUGGUUAGGAGCAUAGAGAUCAGUGAUGGACACACCUGGGCUGGCAGAACAUCUUGCCUUGAUCUGGAGCCCCAUGUCUGCCCCUCUGUAGAGGUGCACAUGGGCCAAUGAUGGAUGCAAUGAGCUGAUCAUUUUGCUGUGAUCAAGGCUAUGUUGCCUCUGUGUUAGGCCAAUGUGAGUAAUGGUUCUUGUCUUGGUUUAGGUUGUUUAAUGGUAUUCCUGAUAUUAUUAAAAAUUAUUUAAUAUAAUAAAAAGUUAAUUGGCUUAAUGACAAUGUGCAACAUUGAGGUUAAUUAAUGAAAGAGAUGUAGUCUCUGUGGGAAAUUAUUGUAUAGACAAAUGUAAGGAUUCUUCAAAUAUCUUGUUCUUGGGUUUUCAAAAUCAUGUAUUCAUUUUAUUAUCAGUUGAUGUUCAUGGGUGAUUGAUCAUCCUGUAGCGACGGUGGUAUUGACUGUUCCCCAGAGGACAAGGAGUGUGUUCUUAUGUAAGUCAUAGUUGACAUUCUUGUUUUUGAUUGGGUAGUUUGCCUGUUCAUUGAUGUUCAUAGUACUAUAGAAGGUAGAUAAAUGGCCACAUACCUAAAGAAAAUCAAAGGGGACAAAAAGUGAGAGUCUGUUAUAAACUAAGGAUUAUAAUUAAUGUAAUUCAGUACAACUGUGGACAAUUUUGAAAAGAUAAAGAUUGAUGUCAUUAUGGACAUCAUGAUUGGGAUUGUCUUUAUUAAACUUUGUCAGGAGAGUAAAGAUCAAUGUGGCCACAUGUUGUGGCUCAUGCCUGUAAUCCCAACACUGUAAUCCCAGCACUGUAAUCCCAGCCUGUAAUCCCAGGCUGAGGUGGGCGGAUCACCUGAGGUUGGGAGUUCGAGACCAGCCUGACCAACAUGGAGAAACCCCGUCUCUACUAAAAAUACAAAAUUAGCCGGGCAUGGUGGCGCAUGUCUUUAAUUCCAGCUACUCAGGAGGCUGAGGCAGGAGAAACGCUUGAACCCGAGAGGCGGAGGUUGCAGUGAGCUGAGAUUGCGCCAUUGCACUCCAGCCUGGGCAACAAGAGUGAAACUCCAUCUC
rnacentral:lncRNA from 10 species